UUUUCAACACUUUGUAUCUCAGAAAUGACAAUAAAGAAAUAAAUGGCUACUUAAUCUCUAACAAUGGAUUAUCGUAGUUGUAAUAUGUUUUAUGUAUGAAAAGAAAUAUCAAUACCGUGAACAUCAAUUUCAAAGCAGUAUUAAGUAGAUACAAUUCUAUAUUAUAGUAGUAAUAUUUUUGUAACUCAUAAGAUGAAUAUGUAUAAUUACAAAUAAUAUUAUUUAAUAUUUUCUUACAAUGAUUGAGAUUGCUUGGGAAUAACGUGCAACUGCACGUUUAUAGAGACUAGUUAUACUAAAAGUGGGAAGAAUCUAAACCAAAAGUUGAAUUACGAAAAAGCCCAUCAAAAGUUGAUUGACAUUUUUCCCCAUAAAAAAAAAGAGUGAAAAUAUUUUAUAUAUAAUGAAUAAAAGUACUGGAUAAAAUUAAGGCACAUACAAAUAUUAUGUACAGAUGAUGUACUUGCUUGCUUUUAAUUUAAUGAUUAAAAUUCCAACGUAGCUAUUCAAUUGGGAGUUACAAUGUUGAAACUCAUGUAUUUAUUUGUUCAUUUAUUUUAUUUUAAUUGCCUACAAAGUCUCUGAAUACAAUUUAUCAACUUUCCCCCUUCCCCAAUUUUUUUUUUUUUCUGUGUGUCAAAUUGUUUCUUUAAUAGAUACCAAUCUGUUGGCUUCUCCUUUUCCCUCCAAUCAGAAUCUUCUUAGAUUGAAACUAAAUUUUCAUUAUUUUCUUGUAAAUGUUUUAUAUUUAAUAGCUCCAAAAAUAUCUAAUUAAUUGCUUCUUUUUAUUGUCCCUUAUUUAAGGUCUUUAAUUAGGCAAGAAACUGAUCAUGAAGACUAAAGGUCAGGACAAUCUGAUUGAUUGAGGAGAGUAGGAAGAUGAUGAAUCUUUUUUUUUUUUUUUCCCCUCUCAAAAAUUUCUAAUAGUUUAAUACUUUUCAGCUUUCUUUACCUAAAUUUACCUAUUUAAAGUGACCUAUGAAGGGCAAAUGAAUCUAGCUCUUCUUAUGCAGUUUCUCUUCGUUUUCCUUAUGUGUUUUUCACUUUCAUUUUUGCAAUGACCAUACAAAUGGCCCUACUCUUUCAACUAUAAGACAAAAUUCAAGUUAAUGGGACAAACUCUUGCCUGAUUGAUUCCACAUAUGUUUUGCAAUUGAUGGAGCGAAAUGGCUGGUAUUCAUGGAGUGAAGCACUAGAUUACAAGCUAAAGUGGAGAGGUAUAAGUUCCACGUACGAUGAGACCGCUGCCAUUUUGGAGAACCGGGAUAUAUUGAUUUUUAAGAUACCAGAGUUCGCCACUAGCAUGAAGGAUUGUCCAUCAUUAUCUUCCGAUAUAGAUUGGUUGAUGACUUUUGAGUAUUACCAAGGUUACUUAUCUAUCCGAUAUGGAAUUCACAGAAAGUAUACCAAUACGGAACCACACUAUAAUUUUGAGGCAUGGAGAAAGACUCAAAGAUAGCUGGAUUCGUGGAUUGUUGAGCUUCAAGCUUUGUAGAAGGAAUUAAGUAGUGAUCAAGAAGACGAGACUUGAAGCCGGUGCAUUGUCUAAGCAUUCUAAUUUCUUGGACGUGUUCAACGUGCAGGGAAGAAUUUUCUGCAGGUUCUAUGGUUUAUUGUCUCAAUUAUUGUUCCCAUGUUUACCAUCAAACUUGUAUUCUAGAAUGACUUUUAAGAAAUAGGUUUUGUCCCUAUUGU